GAUGAACGCUAGCUACAGGCUUAACACAUGCAAGUUGAGGGGAAACGAUAUUGGAAGCUUACUUCCGAUAGGCGUCGACCGGCGCACGGGUGAGUAACGCGUAUCCAACCUGCCCACCACUUGGGAAUAACCUUGCGAAAGUAAGACUAAUGCCCAAUGAUAUCUCUAGAAGACAUCUGAAAGAGAUCAAAGAUUUAUCGGCGAUGGAUGGGGAUGCGUCGGAUUAGCUUGUUGGCGGGGUAACGGCCCACCAAGGCGACGAUCAGUAGGGGGUCUGAGAGGAAGGUCCCCCACAUUGGAACUGAGACACGGUCCAAACUCCUACGGGAGGCAGCAGUGAGGAAUAUUGGUCAAUGGGCGAGAGCCUGAACCAGCCAAGUAGCGUGCAGGAUGACGGCCCUAUGGGUUGUAAACUGCUUUUAUAAGGGAAUAAAGUGAGCCUCGUGAGGCUUUUUGCAUGUACCUUAUGAAUAAGGACCGGCUAAUUCCGUGCCAGCAGCCGCAGUAA
rnacentral:rRNA from 1 species